GCCCCAUGGGGCGCAGCAGGCGAGAAAACUUUGCAAUGUGCGAAAGCACGACAAGGUUAAUCCGAGUGGUUUCUGCUAAAGGAACCUUUUGUCGGUCCUAGAAACACUGAUGAAUAAGGGGUGGGCAAGUUCUGGUGUCAGCCGCCGCGGUAAAACCAGCACCUCAAGUGGUCAGGAUGAUUAUUGGGCCUAAAGCAUCCGUAGCCGGCUCUGUAAGUUUUCGGUUAAAUCUGUACGCUUAACGUACAGGCUGCCGGGAAUACUGCAGAGCUAGGGAGUGGGAGAGGUAGACGGUACUCGGUAGGAAGGGGUAAAAUCCUUUGAUCUAUUGAUGACCACCUGUGGCGAAGGCGGUCUACCAGAACACGUCCGACGGUGAGGGAUGAAAGCUGGGGGAGCAAACCGGAUUAGAUACCCGGGUAGUCCCAGCUGUAAACUAUGCAAACUCAGUGAUGCAUUGGCUUGUGGCCAAUGCAGUGCUGCAGAGAAGCCGU
rnacentral:rRNA from 1 species